rnacentral:rRNA from 1 species
CGCUGGCGGCGUGCCUAAUACAUGCAAGUCGAGCGAACGGACGAGAAGCUUGCUUCUCUGAUGUUAGCGGCGGACGGGUGAGUAACACGUGGAUAACCUACCUAUAAGACUGGGAUAACUUCGGGAAACCGGAGCUAAUACCGGAUAAUAUUUUGAACCGCAUGGUUCAAAAGUGAAAGACGGUCUUGCUGUCACUUAUAGAUGGAUCCGCGCUGCAUUAGCUAGUUGGUAAGGUAACGGCUUACCAAGGCAACGAUGCAUAGCCGACCUGAGAGGGUGAUCGGCCACACUGGAACUGAGACACGGUCCAGACUCCUACGGGAGGCAGCAGUAGGGAAUCUUCCGCAAUGGGCGAAAGCCUGACGGAGCAACGCCGCGUGAGUGAUGAAGGUCUUCGGAUCGUAAAACUCUGUUAUUAGGGAAGAACAUAUGUGUAAGUAACUGUGCACAUCUUGACGGUACCUAAUCAGAAAGCCACGGCUAACUACGUGCCAGCAGCCGCGGUAAUACGUAGGUGGCAAGCGUUAUCCGGAAUUAUUGGGCGUAAAGCGCGCGUAGGCGGUUUUUUAAGUCUGAUGUGAAAGCCCACGGCUCAACCGUGGAGGGUCAUUGGAAACUGGAAAACUUGAGUGCAGAAGAGGAAAGUGGAAUUCCAUGUGUAGCGGUGAAAUGCGCAGAGAUAUGGAGGAACACCAGUGGCGAAGGCGACUUUCUGGUCUGUAACUGACGCUGAUGUGCGAAAGCGUGGGGAUCAAACAGGAUUAGAUACCCUGGUAGUCCACGCCGUAAACGAUGAGUGCUAAGUGUUAGGGGGUUUCCGCCCCUUAGUGCUGCAGCUAACGCAUUAAGCACUCCGCCUGGGGAGUACGACCGCAAGGUUGAAACUCAAAGGAAUUGACGGGGACCCGCACAAGCGGUGGAGCAUGUGGUUUAAUUCGAAGCAACGCGAAGAACCUUACCAAAUCUUGACAUCCUUUGACAACUCUAGAGAUAGAGCCUUCCCCUUCGGGGGACAAAGUGACAGGUGGUGCAUGGUUGUCGUCAGCUCGUGUCGUGAGAUGUUGGGUUAAGUCCCGCAACGAGCGCAACCCUUAAGCUUAGUUGCCAUCAUUAAGUUGGGCACUCUAAGUUGACUGCCGGUGACAAACCGGAGGAAGGUGGGGAUGACGUCAAAUCAUCAUGCCCCUUAUGAUUUGGGCUACACACGUGCUACAAUGGACAAUACAAAGGGCAGCGAAACCGCGAGGUCAAGCAAAUCCCAUAAAGUUGUUCUCAGUUCGGAUUGUAGUCUGCAACUCGACUACAUGAAGCUGGAAUCGCUAGUAAUCGUAGAUCAGCAUGCUACGGUGAAUACGUUCCC